GAAAAGGAUAAGAACCUUGCCAUCAUCAGAAUAAACUCAACAGAGACAAAACCAUAAGACUCAGUCUAUUUUGCAGGCAUUGAAGCAUGCUGUGACACUGUCAUGCCAGACCCCUAAUAACUUCAGUAGGGAUGGCACUGGGUUCAAGAGGCUAGAGAAGAGACCUACAGCCAGCAAAAGAGGCCUAUGGUUUUAUUUGGGUGAACUUACAUACAGGGAUGGUCCAGUGGUGGCAGGCUGGACAGGAGAACCACAACUGCUGGCAAAAAAAAAAAAAAAAUGCAGUUUAUAUAACAUCCUCACUUAGCACCCUCUCCUCAGCAACCUCCACAUGAGCACCCUCAUUUCUUAAAUAAUUGUUGUCAGGUCCGUCUGCUAUAUGGGGUUAUUCUCAGGGUAGACUUAAGUUAUUGCUGUCAGGUGUGUCGACCAUACAGGCACCAAUUGCAUGGGCUCAUUUGAGGGAUAAAAGCUCAGUAUGUCUUGAAUGAGGAAAAAGUGUAGAAGCCCUUGUUGGAUGUAUUGAGGAAUCCCAUUGAUAGGCUCCAAAAGGGUUCCAUUAACUCAGCACUGACCAGUCCUAUGAGAUUGUGAGUGUUCAGUCGGCUUGGUGAGGGAUGGCAGUGGGCAUCUUCUGCCUGUGGUGGGCAUGCUUGUGGGGGUUGAGAGACCUGCCAUCCAUUAGACUCUUGUGUACUGAAGAGCUACCUCAGUUUCCUUUUGGCCCAGGACUAGCAGGCAAGACAAUUCUAGAUUUCUCUCAUAAUGGGUCUGAGCCAGUGGAUAGUUCCCUUGCCUUGGACUGAGCAGGAUGAAGUCUGCAGGGAUGGGGUGGGAGCAGCGGCUGUAGCUCUGAUGCUUCAGACACAUGUACAUUCUUAUGAAAACAAAUGAUCUUUAGCCAGGAACUGAACACAGAUAAACUAAGGCACAAAGUGUGCACAAUUAAAAAGACCACAACUUUUGUGAAAAUGCUGACUUUAAUUAAAAUAAGCAAAUAAAGGAACAAACAACCCUUACAUAUUUCCUUCAAUUUCUCAGUGUUCUGGAGAUUCAGAGCAAGUGAUUAUGAGGCUAAAAAAUUGUAUCAGGUAGUUAUCAAAUAAUUCCCAUCAAGAAUAUGAGCUAGCAUCAUGAGAUUCUUUCCCAACAUCUUUAAUGAGAGUAGAAUGAGGUCUUUGUAACAACAAACAGCUUUUGAUAUUUCUGUGGGGGGCUAUUGCUCUAACUGCUCACAAAUCAAGGACGAGAAAUCAAGUUUAAGUAAGAAGAACGUGUGAUGAAUGUUUGGGGAAUUGAAGCAUGCAACACAAAUGAGCCUAAGGAUACAGGUGUGAGAGGCUGUUGCAACCUAGGUCAUAGUUCAGAAGGUGAUCUAUCCCAGAGCCCCUGCCAGUCAGAUAAAGAAUCCAGGCAAGCACAAGGCAGGAUAUUAAUACUCCCAGAUAAAUGAGCUGAGAACUGUGGUCCUGGGGGGCCUGAGACACUUAACAAAGUAGGGGUUCAUGACUAAGAAAAAUACAAGGCCAGAUCCCAGUUCUAGUGACAAGGUCAGAGAGAGUGGAGAUGUCAGCAGAGUGACCUGGAGAGUACUAAGCCUCAGACCUCACUGUGUCAAAAAGUGAUUAGAAUCUAAUGAGAGUGCCUGGGUAUCAAACCCAGUCAAUGGAUACUAACAAGGGUUCAUGAUAGUCUGAGCUCCACUGAACUUCACUCUUCCCAAAGAUUGAAGUGGUGGAAAGCUCCUGAUAACUUUGCCAAGAGCAGAAAUGGUGUGAGUCCUGGGUACCCUUAGGCUUCCUGGAAGCUCAGAGGAUUGAGCCUUAAGAAUAUGAAGAGGAGAAUGGUGUGAACCCGGGAAGCGGAGCUUGCAGUGAGC
rnacentral:lncRNA from 1 species